CUUUUAUUUUGAAAAUAUGACGACAUCCUGUUGAAAAUACUUUUAUUUUGAAAAGACGAGGAUAUCCUGUCGACAUGUGCUUAGCUUUCGGUGCUUCAAUUCAGUUCGCUAUGUAUAGGAUUUCAGAAAAACAAUUCUGUGUCGGUUAAAUCGACGGUCGUUAAAAUCGGGUUAAAUCGGGGUGUAAGCGCUCCCGGUUAGGAAUGCACGGUUCAUCUCAGCACCAUUUUCCCGGUUGCUAACUGGUCUCAGUGAAAUGGAUAUGAUGGUGAAAUGGCUCCCUCCGGUUCAAAUAUUGAGCAGCAAGCCUUUGACGGUAUUAAUACAUGUACUUCACCAUGUUAAACAGCCAAUUAAACAAAUACGGAAAGGCCUUAAACAAACAGGAAUCUGGCCACUUCUUUUAGAUAGGCCAGAUGUCCACCCCUUAAUUUUCCCAAGGGAGUCAAGUGAGGAGCUUAACCCACAGACCGUGAUCCAGAGCAUUACCUGGCCACAACCCAAUGUUGACAGCGACAAGGAUGAGGACGACACUGUUCCAUUGGAGAAAAUCAGUCUUGUCACUGGAUUUUUGAGAAAAUUCAUAGAGGAAGCGUCACCAGAUGUGCUGCGUGACCUGAUGAAGUUUUGGGUGGGGUGGGAACUGCCAACAACAAAACUCAAUGUUGAGGUUGUGACCUCAACUUAUCCAGUGGCUCACACCUGCUUCUUCAAGUUGAAGCUCCCCAGCCACUACCAGACCUACAAGAUUUUUCACCAGGACUUGAUGAUGGCCCUCAGUUCUUCUCUUUGAGAGCUGUGGCAGCUUUCUUGGCCUCUCUAGUUCAUUAAGCUCAGACUUCCAUAGACAUUUAGUUGUAAUUAUUGAACAGUUUAUACAGCUAGUACAUGUUUAAUACAUUCAGAUAUUUAGGUAGAUACUAGUUUCUCCAGUGUUACUGUUGCCCUUUUACAGUAAUGUUCUAAAUGAUUAAUGUUCUAACAAUGUUGGUUUUGUAAAGCCGAUUUGUCUAAAUUUGUUACCCCUUUACAGUGAUGUGUUGUAAAUACAACUGUACUGCUACAUUUGUUAAAUUUACACAAGACUU
ensembl:lncRNA